CUAGGCUCUCAGCUGGAAGACCCAAAGGCUGGGAGCUGGAAUCAUCUGGAGCCUCACUCAUUCACAUCCCUGGCAGUUGAUGGGGGCUGAUGCUGAGAUCUUAGGCCAUCACGCUAAUGACUCCAACCAGUGCUUUCUUGGUUCUUACCAGACCCAUCCUACAUGCUCAGUCACAGCUAAGAGGGGUCCUGUGGCCUGUUCUGAUCCAACUCCAGGAGAAAGACGAGUUCCUGGGAGCCUGUGCGAUCCUAACAACCGACAUCUUGGGGCCUACCGCAUGUCAAAUCCCAUCCGAGAACAGCUCCCCACUCUCAAUAUCAGAAAGAGAAAGGACGGCAGAGGACUCGUGCGAUCCCUUCCCAGUCUCCCCACCCCCACCCACAUCAUAUUCUGCACACAUGCUGAAGCAUUAGCAUCGGCUGAUUUGGAAGGAAUAUUGGAAAUGAAGUGAUAGCAGAGUAAAUGUCAAUGCAUUCAGUGUGACACCGUGAGCACCAGAUCUUAAACAGCUUCAUCAUUGUGGCAUUUACUGUAUCCUGAAAUAAUAUUAAUCCCACUGUUGUCCUUCUUGAUGGAAUCAUCCAUGAAUAUGGUUUAUGGGCCUGGCCAAAGUGAUAAUAGGUUAAAAGAACAGCCUAUCCAGUGUUCCACUAAAUUAAGGUCGCUUCAUGGAAUUUAAUGAAACAAGUGCUGCAUGGGGUUUUCAAAGGACGUUCUUGUAAUUCAUGUCUAUUUAGGGCUCCUGAUAACCAGAAACCUAAUUUCUUAGAAUAAAAUAGCUUUUCAAAAGCCUGGUCAUAUAGAAGAAUAAAAAAGAAAAAACUUUAAAGGGCAAUAAUAAGCCCCAACUGUAAUAUUUUGUUAUUUCAAAUCCAAAGUUUAAGCAAAAAAAAGUUGGGAGGGAGGCAAUGAGACAUUCUGAAUAAAACCAAAUAUGAAAAUUAAUCAGAUUCGUGCGUCAUUCUGCAGUUGAGUGCUGAAAUAAGGAUUUUGUCCUAUCCACGCCCUUUAGUCACAUACCUAGGGAAACAAAAAGAUCUUGGAAUACAGAGAAGACCACAGCACACUGGAAAUGAUGAGGAUUGAAAGAACUGUUCAGACUUUGAGAAUGGCAGGGGGAAGACAACAACAGAUGUUCCAGAACACCUAAUUCUAUUUCACUUGCCAAGGCUAGACAGGGCUCAAGAGUUUAAACCUUCUCUGAAAAAGCCAUAAACUUAGACUCAUGUGCCUGGAAGAAUAGGAACAUUCUAUUGUCCCUGCCAAACACCAAGCCAAAAGUAUGAAACAAUCAC
rnacentral:lncRNA from 1 species